rnacentral:rRNA from 1 species
CUCAACCGCAAGGAGGGGGAUGCCUAAGGCAGGGCUAGUGACUGGGGUGAAGUCGUAACAAGGUAACCGUACCGGAAGGUGUGGCUGGAUCACCUCCUUA